UACGUAGGGUGCAAGCGUUGUCCGGAAUUAUUGGGCGUAAAGAGCUCGUAGGCGGUUUGUCGCGUCUGCUGUGAAAUCCCGAGGCUCAACCUCGGGCCUGCAGUGGGUACGGGCAGACUAGAGUGCGGUAGGGGGAGAUUGGAACUCCUGGUGUAGCGGUGGAAUGCGCAGAUAUCAGGAAGAACACCGAUGGCGAAGGCAGAUCUCUGGGCCGUAACUGACGCUG
rnacentral:rRNA from 1 species